UCAUUAAAUAUAACCAGGUAACACAAGAGUAAUCAUCAACAAAAAUAACAAAAUAAUGAAAUCUCAAAGUUGUACUGACACGACUUGGACCCCAAAUGUCUGAAUGGACAAUUUCAAACAUGGACUUAGCCCUAUUAUUGACUAGCUUGGGAAAGGAAACACGACUUUGUUUUCCAAGUUGACAGGACUCACAUUCAAAAG
rnacentral:misc_RNA from 1 species